AGGAUACACGCCUAGAACUGCAUUAGAGUAUGGAACACAACAGCUUGUGGCAUCAACUAACUUUAAGUCUGGACUAGUUCAGGUGGAUAAAGCUCCCAUUCAGUUUUUCUGAUUGAACUGUAAAAACCACAGGAGAAAAGCAUGUCCCAUUCAUCUCCCAGUAGUGCAGCCCCAUAUUGAGGACAUGGUGGUCCCAAUUCUAUGCGUCAUGGGACACACAUGGCUGCCAUGAAACAUGAUCUAAGAAAUAGAAAGGGAAUUUCUACUGUGUCCAGUUCUGGGAGUUCUAGAGAUAGUCCAGCAAAGGGCUACAAAAAUAAUUAGGGGCCUGGAUCAUCUCCUUUGUAAAGAAAGGGUGAGAGAGGUGGGUCUGGUCAGUUUGGAGAAGAAAAGGCUGAGAGAGGAUGUUAUCAGUGCUUGUCAAUAUUUAACAGGUAGGUGUCAAGUGGAUGGAGCCAGGCUUUUUUUUUUUGGUGGUGCCCAGUGACAGAACAAAAGACAAUGGGCACAAACUGGAAAGUUCUACCUGAACAAGAGAAAAUAUUUAUUUUGAGGCUGACAGAAACUUGAACAGACUAGCCAAAGAGGUUUUGGAGUGUCCUCUUCUGGAGAUUUUCAAAGCCUGUCUGGAUGCUUUCAUGUGAAACCUACUCUAGGGAACCUGCUUUAUCAUGGGGUAAGUCUGGAUGAUCUCCAGAUCUCCAAACCCUAUGAUGCUGUGAUUCUGUGUAAUUUAAAGCAAGUGAAGUGAAUUGUAACUCUCAGAGAGUUCAUAUUGGAUUAACUAAAUUUGAAAGAAAAAAAAUCUCCAUGAUACUUCUAAAAUUGCAUAUUAAUGACAUUGUUUCACUGAUCAUAAUGCUAACACUUUUUAAAAAAUCACUUACCAAAGUAGUAAUUGGUGCAAUACCACAGAGGUGGAGAGAAUUAAUUCACUGAGUUAUGCUAAUUUACAUCAGGCAUCUAGGAUUUCUUCAAAAGCAUGUAUAUGUAACAGUAUAUUUUUCUGCUACUGAAUUUUUGUUUCAAACAUUUUGAUUAUUUUAUCAUAUUAAAUAUUUAUAACAAAAUGUUACAUCUAUCUAACAUGUCAAUCUAGCAUAUUUUACUCAUGUACAUUAUUUCACCUUUGAAAUAAUGAAAUAAGAUGAUGUCCACGCAGUUUUGUCUUGUGCCAGGUCCAUUCAGCUUUUUUUCUGAGCAGAAAUGACAAAAAAAGCAAUGAUACUCUCUUAGACACUCACCAUCAUUCAGUGUGUGACCUGAAAUAAAGCUGAUAGAUGGAACUGCCGUAGAUGGUCUUGAGAUGGAUUUCUCCGAGUUUUUGAUAAGCAGCUUGGAAGGAACAGAAGAAGACUGUAAGAAAAUGUGGUGUUUCAGUGUUACAGAAAUCUUUGGGAGAAGGUGGUCAUAGGAGAACUUCCUUUUUUGGUGUAAUGUGAAGCAAGAACCACGGUAAUUUCAUAAGUAUUUCUAUACAGUACUCUAACUGACAUUUCAGUUAACAGCAGUACAUGGUAUUCAGAUAAAAAAGCUAAAGUCUGGGGAAUUGUACAAGGUCUCUAGGUUGAGCUAUAGAAAAAAAAAUAAACAGCAAUAAAAUAGACAACUGCAGAAAAAACAGACAAACUUCUAUUAGGACACUGUGUA